GAUGAACGCUGGCGGCGUGCCUAAUACAUGCAAGUCGAGCGAACAGAUGAGGAGCUUGCUCCUCUGACGUUAGCGGCGGACGGGUGAGUAACACGUGGAUAACCUACCUAUAAGACUGGGAUAACUUCAGGAAACCGGAGCUAAUACCGGAUAAUAUAUUGAACCGCAUGGUUCAAUAGUGAAAGACGGUUUUGCUGUCACUUAUAGAUGGAUCCGCGCCGCAUUAGCUAGUUGGUAAGGUAACGGCUUACCAAGGCAACGAUGCGUAGCCGACCUGAGAGGGUGAUCGGCCACACUGGAACUGAGACACGGUCCAGACUCCUACGGGAGGCAGCAGUAGGGAAUCUUCCGCAAUGGGCGAAAGCCUGACGGAGCAACGCCGCGUGAGUUAUGAAGGUCUUCGGAUCGUAAAACUCUGUUAUUAGGGAAGAACAAAUGUGUAAGUAACUAUGCACGUCUUGACGGUACCUAAUCAGAAAGCCACGGCUAACUACGUG
rnacentral:rRNA from 1 species